GACGAACGCUGGCGGCGUGCUUAACACAUGCAAGUCGAACGGAAAGGCCCUGCUUUUGUGGGGUGCUCGAGUGGCGAACGGGUGAGUAACACGUGAGUAACCUGCCCUUGACUUUGGGAUAACUUCAGGAAACUGGGGCUAAUACCGGAUAGGAGCUCCUGCUGCAUGGUGGGGGUUGGAAAGUUUCGGCGGUUGGGGAUGGACUCGCGGCUUAUCAGCUUGUUGGUGGGGUAGUGGCUUACCAAGGCUUUGACGGGUAGCCGGCCUGAGAGGGUGACCGGCCACAUUGGGACUGAGGUACGGACCAGACUCCUACGGGAGGCAGCAGUGGGGAAUAUUGCACAAUGGGCGGAAGCCUGAUGCAGAAACGCCGCGUGCGGGAUGACGGCCUUCGGGUUGUAAACCGCUUUCGCCUGAGACGAAGCGUGAGUGACGGUAAUGGGUAAAGAAGCACCGGCUAACUACGUG
rnacentral:rRNA from 1 species